UACAGCCACAUCACGUUGAAAACAGCGAUUCUCGUACGAUCAACGAAGUUAAGCAACAUCGGGCCUGGUCAGUACAAAGAUGGGUGACCGCAUGGAAAUAUCAGGUGCUGUAA